UAUUACACCAAAUUUUUGCUUAUUUCCGAAUAAUCUGCAAUUGUUUCACUGUUAUUAUGGCAAGAGAGAAUUCAAGGACAAAAUAAACGGCGAUUUAGUGGAAAUAGAUUUGUUAAAAAUGCAAAGAAAUCGUGUACAAAUGGACCCACCAAAAUUGUGCUAACAGUAAAUAUGACGCCGAUGCUCAAUCAACUUCCAGUGCAAGUGUUUCAGCUUCAUCGCGAAAAAUCAACGUUAUAGAAUCGCCAAAUGCCACUAAAGAAUCGCUACAUGCAACAGGCUAUCGUUUCAUUGAUAUAGAAAUUCUCAGUGAAGUUUUUCAGCAAGUAGUUUGCUAAGAAUGUGGUGAAUCCUCAUCCCUUGUGCUUGAAGAUAAAAAAAUCGAACGGAAGGAUUGUGCAUCUCAUCUCCGUUUGCGAUGCGAGGAAUGUGGUUGGGAUUUUUCGUUUUAUUCUUCAAAUAAGGUAAAGAAAUCCUUUGAAUAAAAGGCUUGUUUAUGUCAUGCGAUCCAUUGGUAUUAUUUGGUAAAGGACAUGCCUCCGUGAAAAGAUUCUGUACUCACAUGAACAUGCCAUCACCAGCAUACCGAGAUUGUAAUAUAUAGCCCUAUCAAAAGCUGCUAACUCUGUUGCUACCAAGUUUAUGAAUGAUGCAGCUGUUGAGGUUCAUGGUGAAAAUCCUGGUCAAAUAACCCAAUGUGGUGUCUUGUGAUGAUACCUGGCAAAGACGAGGAUAUUCAUCGCUCCAUGGGUGUGUCACAACCCUAUCCAUUGACGGACACCUUGAUUGACAAACUUCAAAACUAUUAUGGCAUUGCCAUUAGAAGUAAUUGUGGAAAUUUGGAGUGAAUGAAGGCUGCAAUUUAUGCCAGCAUUAUCCAUUGUGUCUCAUCAAAGAAGCGAAAUUUACAUACUUGGUGUCUUGAUGGUCCGGACAGCUGGUGCCGCUUUAAACAAGACAAGGCAAAUAGUACUGACUUAUAUAAGUGUGGACAUGGUCUUCCAGACAACAUCAUUGCUCAGAUUAGGCCCAUUUAUGAUAGACUAAGUAGUAAUGAUUUGUUGGUCAAAUGUUUCGAUGGGAAAACUCAAAACCAAAACGAAUCGUUGAACGGCAUGAUUUGGAACAGGCUUCCGAAGAGAAUUUUUGUGGGUGGAAAUGUUCUGUAGUUGGGUGUGUAUGAUGCUGUUGCUCAUUUCAACAUGGGUUCAAGGGAUUCUGUUGAUAUCUUACAAGAUGGGCUAGUUCUUGGCUAUUCUUUUGAAGAGGUUGUCUGCAAAGCUGAUAAAAAGCAUGUAAAGAAAGAAGAUCAUCGAGCUAAGCCGGAUGUCAAAAAGAGGAGGAAGGUGGUGUAUGGCCAGAAAACGAAGAGGGAAGAUAGAAAUCAGGAAACAGAAGUCAAUACCUAUGAGGCAGGGACCUUUUAACACUAAACUGGUCCAUUCAUAACGUUUAUUAAUCAAUUGUAGG